rnacentral:rRNA from 1 species
AGUGAACGCUGGCGGUAGGCCUAACACAUGCAAGUCGAACGGCAGCACAGUAAGAGCUUGCUCUUACGGGUGGCGAGUGGCGGACGGGUGAGGAAUACAUCGGAAUCUACUUUUUCGUGGGGGAUAACGUAGGGAAACUUACGCUAAUACCGCAUACGACCUACGGGUGAAAGCAGGGGAUCUUCGGACCUUGCGCGAUUGAAUGAGCCGAUGUCGGAUUAGCUAGUUGGCGGGGUAAAGGCCCACCAAGGCGACGAUCCGUAGCUGGUCUGAGAGGAUGAUCAGCCACACUGGACAUGAGACGCGAUCCCGCCUCCUACGGGAGGCACCAGUGGGGAAUGUUGGACAAUGGGCGCAAGCCUGAUCCAGCCAUACCGCGUGGGUGAAGAAGGCCUUCGGGUUGUAAAGCCCUUUUGUUGGGAAAGAAAAGCAGCAGGUUAAUACCCCGCUGUUCUGACGGUACCCAAAGAAUAAGCACCGGCUAAUUUCGU